rnacentral:rRNA from 1 species
GGUUAAGUGACUAAGCGUACACGGUGGAUGCCUUGGCAGUCAGAGGCGAUGAAAGACGUAGUAACUUGCGAUAAGCCCAGAUUAGGUAGUAACAACCAUUUGAGUCUGGGAUUUCUGAAUGGGGAAACCCACGUGCAUAAGCACGUAUCCUCACCUGAAUACAUAGGGUAAGGAGGCGAACCGGGGAACUGAAACAUCUAAGUACCCCGAGGAAAAGAAAUCAACCGAGAUUCCGAAAGUAGCGGCGAGCGAAAUUGGACUAGCCCUUAAGCUUUACACGCGUUAGACGAACGGUCUGGAAAGUCCGACGAUACAGGGUGAUAGUCCCGUAGUUGACGACGUGUGUUCAGUGAAAUCGAGUAGGGCGGGACACGUGAUAUCCUGUCUGAAUAUGGGGGACCAUCCUCCAAGGCUAAAUACUACUGACUGACCGAUAGUGAACCAGUACCGUGAGGGAAAGGCGAAAAGAACCCCUGUGAGGGGAGUGAAAUAGAACCUGAAACCGUGUACGUACAAGCAGUAGGAGCAGGCUUCGUCCUGUGACUGCGUACCUUUUGUAUAAUGGGUCAGCGACUUAUAUUCAGUGGCAAGGUUAACCAUCUAGGGGAGCCGUAGGGAAACCGAGUCUUAACUGGGCGUUCAGUCUCUGGAUAUAGACCCGAAACCAGGUGAUCUAGCCAUGGGCAGGUUGAAGGUUGAGUAACAUCAACUGGAGGACCGAACCGACUAAUGUUGAAAAAUUAGCGGAUGACUUGUGGCUAGGGGUGAAAGGCCAAUCAAACCUGGAGAUAGCUGGUUCUCCCCGAAAGCUAUUUAGGUAGCGCCUCGGACGAAUACUACUGGGGGUAGAGCACUGUUAAGGCUAGGGGUCAUCCCGACUUACCAACCCUUUGCAAACUCCGAAUACCAGUAAGUACUAUCCGGGAGACACACGGCGGGUGCUAACGUCCGUCGUGGAGAGGGAAACAACCCAGACCGCCAGCUAAGGUCCCAAAUUACUACUAAGUGGGAAACGAUGUGGGAAGGCUCAGACAGCCAGGAUGUUGGCUUAGAAGCAGCCAUCAUUUAAAGAAAGCGUAAUAGCUCACUGGUCGAGUCGGCCUGCGCGGAAGAUGUAACGGGGCUAAGUAGUAAACCGAAGCUGCGGCAAUGCACUUUAGUGCAUUGGGUAGGGAGCGUUCUGUAAGCGGUUGAAGGUGUGUGGUAACGCAUGCUGGACGUAUCAGAAGUGCGAAUGCUGACAUGAGUAACGAUAAAGGGGUGAAAAACCUCCUCGCCGGAAGACCAAGGGUUCCUGUCCAACGUUAAUCGGGGCAGGGUAAGUCGACCCCUAAGGCGAGGCCGAAAGGCGUAGUCGAUGGGAAACGGGUUAAUAUUCCCGUACUUCUUACAAUUGCGAUGGGGGGACGGAGAAGGCUAGGUGGGCCUGGCGACGGUUGUCCAGGUUCAAGUGCGUAGGCUUAAGAGUUAGGUAAAUCCGGCUCUUUCUAAGGCUGAGACACGACGUCGAGCACCUACGGGUGUGAAGUCAUUGAUGCCAUGCUUCCAGGAAAAGCCUCUAAGCUUCAGAUUGUAAGGAAUCGUACCCCAAACCGACACAGGUGGUCGGGUAGAGAAUACCAAGGCGCUUGAGAGAACUCGGGUGAAGGAACUAGGCAAAAUGGUACCGUAACUUCGGGAGAAGGUACGCUCUCGACAGUGAAGUCCCUCGCGGAUGGAGCUAUUGAGAGUCGCAGAUACCAGGUGGCUGCAACUGUUUAUUAAAAACACAGCACUGUGCAAAAUCGUAAGAUGACGUAUACGGUGUGACGCCUGCCCGGUGCCGGAAGGUUAAUUGAUGGGGUUAGACUUCGGUCGAAGCUCUUGAUCGAAGCCCCGGUAAACGGCGGCCGUAACUAUAACGGUCCUAAGGUAGCGAAAUUCCUUGUCGGGUAAGUUCCGACCUGCACGAAUGGCGUAAUGAUGGCCACGCUGUCUCCACCCGAGACUCAGUGAAAUUGAAAUCGCUGUGAAGAUGCAGUGUACCCGCGGCUAGACGGAAAGACCCCGUGAACCUUUACUACAGCUUGGCACUGAACAUUGACCCUACAUGUGUAGGAUAGGUGGGAGGCUUUGAAGCACGUACGCCAGUAUGUGUGGAGCCGUCCUUGAAAUACCACCCUUGUAGUGUUGAUGUUCUAACGUCGACCCCUAAUCGGGGUUGCGGACAGUGCCUGGUGGGUAGUUUGACUGGGGCGGUCUCCUCCCAAAGAGUAACGGAGGAGCACGAAGGUGGGCUAAUCACGGUUGGACAUCGUGAGGUUAGUGCAAUGGCAUAAGCCCGCUUGACUGCGAGAAUGACAAUUCGAGCAGGUGCGAAAGCAGGUCAUAGUGAUCCGGUGGUUCUGAAUGGAAGGGCCAUCGCUCAACGGAUAAAAGGUACUCCGGGGAUAACAGGCUGAUACCGCCCAAGAGUUCAUAUCGACGGCGGUGUUUGGCACCUCGAUGUCGGCUCAUCACAUCCUGGGGCUGAAGUCGGUCCCAAGGGUAUGGCUGUUCGCCAUUUAAAGUGGUACGCGAGCUGGGUUUAGAACGUCGUGAGACAGUUCGGUCCCUAUCUGCCGUGGGCGUUGGAAGAUUGAAGGGGCUGCUCCUAGUACGAGAGGACCGGAGUGGACGAACCUCUGGUGUUCGGGUUGUGUCGCCAGACGCAUUGCCCGGUAGCUAAGUUCGGAAUCGAUAACCGCUGAAAGCAUCUAAGCGGGAAGCGAGCCCUGAGAUGAGUCUUCCCUGAUACUUUAAGUAUCCUAAAGGGUUGUCGGAGACUACGACGUUGAUAGGUCAGGUGUGUAAGUGCUGUGAGGCAUUGAGCUAACUGAUACUAAUUGCCCGUGAGGCUUAACCAU